rnacentral:rRNA from 1 species
CCCUUAGAUGUUCUGGGCCGCACGCGUGCUACACUGAGUGGAUCAGCGGGUCAGGUUGCGCGAAAGCGUUUCCUAAUCUUUAAAUCCGCUCGUGAUGGGGAUUGACGGUUGCAAUUUUCUGUCAUGAACGAGGAAUACCUUGUAAGCGCGGGUCAUCAUCCCGCGCUGAAUACGUCCCUGCCCUUUGUACACACCGCCCGUCGCACCUACCGAUUGGAUGGUCCGGUGAAGCCUCGGGAUUGUGGUUCUUGCCGCUUUAUUGUGGCGUGACCGCGAGAACUUGUCUAAACCUUAUCAUCUAGAGGAAGGUGAAGGCGUAACA